GCUUAGAAGCAGCCACCAUUUAAAAAAUGCGUAAUAGCUUACUCAUCGAGAGACCCUGCGCCGAAAAUGAUUGGCGAUAAGCAUGAUACCGAAGCUCUGGAUGUCAGAGUCCUGCGGGACUCUGGCGUGGUAGAGGAGCAUUGUCAUCUGCAUUGAAGCGGGAAGGCGACUGACCGUGGAGUGAUGACAAGAGAGUAUGUAGACAUGAGUAACGAUAAGCCGGGUGAAAUCCCCGGCCGCCGUAAACCCAAGGUUUCCCGGGCAACGUUUUUCGUCCCGGGGUUAGUCGGGACCUAACCCGAGGCCGAUAGGCGUAGGGGAUGGUAAGCCGGUCAAUAUUCCGGCACCUGCAAAGUGGAUGGGGACGCUUUUUGAAUUGCAACCAAGUUAUUGAAUUCUGAGGGGAAGCUUCGGCUGAACCGUAUUGCAUGAAGAAGAGCCAAGAAAAGCCACCACGACUAAAAGCAGCCCGUACCGUAAACCGACACAGGUGGGUGGGUAGAGUAUACCAAGGCGCAAGAGUGAAACCUGGUCAAGGAACUCGGCAAAAUAGCCCCGUAACUUCGGAAGAAGGGGUGCCCCCUCUGGGGGGCCGCAGUGAAAUGGCCCAACCGACUGUUUAGCAAAAACACAGCAUUGUGCUAAGGCGUAAGCCGACGUAUACGAUGUGACACGUGACCAAUGCCAAAAGAUUACGGUAAGAUGUUAGCACUUUAGUGCGAAGCUUCGAGCCCAAGUCCUGGUGAAUGUCGGCCGUAACUAUAACGGUCCUAAGGUAGCGAAAUUCCUUGUCGGGUAAGUUCCGACCUGCACGAAUCGUGCAACGAGUUGACCACUGUCUCGACCAGGAGCUCAGUGAAAUUGUAGUGCCGGUGAAGAUGCCGGCUACCCGCAGAAGGACGGAAAGACCCUAUAGACCUUAACUGUAAGCUGUUACUGGUUAUUUGAUUUUAAUGCUCAGCAUAAGUGGGAGACUUUGAAGGAUACGUUUAGGCGUAUCUGGAGUCGCCAGUGAGAUACCACCCUUUGACAUUGGAUAAUCUAACCCCGAGCCGUAAUCCGGCCGUGGGGACCGUGGCAGCCGGUCAGUUUUACUGGGGCGGUAUCCUCCUAAAGAGUAACGGAGGAGCGCGAAGUUUGGUUCAGCACGGUCGGUAACCGUGUGUCGAGUGUAAAGGCACAAACCAGACUAACUGUGAGACCCACAAGUCGAGCAGAUACGAAAGUAGGCCUUAGUGAUCCGGCGGUAGAAAGUGGAAUUGCCGUCGCUCAACGGAUAAAAGGUACCUUAGGGAUAACAGGCUGAUCGCGCCCAAGAGUUCAUAUCGACGGCGCGGUUUGGCACCUCGAUGUCGGCUCGUCGCAUCCUGGGGCUGGAGCAGGUCCCAAGGGUUGGGCUGUUCGCCCAUUAAAGCGGCACGCGAGCUGGGUUCAGAACGUCGCGAGACAGUUCGGUCCUCUAUCCUCUGUGGGCGUAGGAAAAUUGAGAGGUUCAAACCCUAGUACGAGAGGACCGGGUUUGACGCACCUCUGGUGCUCCGGUUGUUCUGUCAAGAGCAUGGCCGGGUAGCUAAGUGCGGCACCGAUAAGCGCUGAAAGCAUCUAAGCGCCAAGCGGUUCUCAAGACCAGUUUUCCCUGAAAGACCGUGGAAGACCACCACGUUGAUAGGCUGGGGGUGGAAGUGCAGUAAUGCAUGUAGCUCACCAGUACUAAUCGUCUGUUUGGCUUGAUUU
rnacentral:rRNA from 1 species